GAGGCAGCAGUGGGGAAUAUUGCACAAUGGGCGCAAGCCUGAUGCAGCCAUGCCGCGUGUAUGAAGAAGGCCUUCGGGUUGUAAAGUACUUUCAGCGGGGAGGAAGGUGUUGUGGUUAAUAACCGCACCUGAGUGUAGCUUGCGUGCGCGCUAUCUUGCUUCGCUUCGCGCUACGCUUGCG
rnacentral:rRNA from 1 species